rnacentral:rRNA from 1 species
AUGGGUUUCAUGAAUCACCAUAUCCAGAGAUUUGUCGACAUAGCUUGUUGCCAGUUCGAUCCCACGGAUCAGGAGCUGAUCGAGCACCUUGAGGCCAAAGUGAGUGUUGACAGCGCGAGAUUUCAGUCUCUCAUCGAUUUGUCCAUACCAACCAUCGACAGCGAGCACGGCAUAUGCUACACCCAACCUGAGAAACUUCCAGGUAUCACACUGAGUGGCCUAAGGAAGCAUUUCUUCCAGCGCAAUUCCAGGGCGUUCAAAAGGGGCACACGGGCAGCAAAAAAGGUUCUGGUGCUGCACACCAACAAGAACUCCGACCAGCAGAGGACCAACUGGGUGAUGCAGCAGUACCACAUCGGAGACCUGGAGCAAGAGAAGGAGUGGGAGCUGGUCCUCUGGAAGAUUUUCUACCAGACGAACACUAGGGCCAGGAGUAGUUUCGUAUUGGUAGUUGUACUACCUUGUCGUCCGCAAGUUGGUAUUGUUGUUAACGAUCUUUUGGUAUGA